GUGAGAACAAAUGGAUCUAGAUCAUUAUUCAUUAAUGAUUUCUUAUAUGAGUGAAAUGAAUGUCAUUAUAUCACAUGUGAUUAUGAGCUCUAUGUCUGUGAUUCAGGUGGAUGUCUGGUGAUUUCUUUCAAGCGUUAUCCCUCCGUCUGCGGGAAUGACUUCCAUAUGUCAGCUGAAAGACCACCUCAAGUCCAUUACGUGUGGACUGAAGUGAGGCGUGGAGCUGAUCAAUGACUCAGACAAUCGCUCAACAUGACGUGUGCACGAACCCAGAAACCCGAGAGCUUGAUUCCUGAAAGACCUGCAGAUCUCCUCAUGAUUUUGUCCAAAAGUGACUGAAACAUCAAGACGGUGUCACGUCCCUCAAUCAAUGAGAUUUUUUCAGCUGUUUGCUGGUGAAAAUGGAUCACUUUAUGAAGUAACAGCACACCUCUCCUCAACAUCACAGAUGAUCUGAAGAAUCAAGCACAAUCAGCAGGGGAAGCAGGACUGGCUGGAGAACUGGCACAGGUCGGAGAUGACUUUUGCUUCUCUAAUUGGAUUUCCUGCUGUCAGUGACGAGCUUGCAGAGCUGGACAGAUGCCAGUCGACUGCAUCUGGGUUCGGUCCUUCAAGCUUCAGCGGUUCACUGAUUCUCAUUCAUUACCCUGGUGUGUGAAAGCGUUCCUCAGAAUAGGGAAAUUGGAAGAAAAGCACAGAGUGGCUUCCAGCAGGAAAUGCAGGACAGACAGCACCAGACCGAGGAUCUGAAUGCAUAAACAUCUGCUCUGAAUUACUCCCUCCGGCGUUCAGGAAAUUAGAUCACAUGACUAACGCAGUAAUUUUAGUUGUAAAAAACGAAGCUUCUUACAGCUUCCCAAUAAACGUAAAGACAAACGAUGAGACAAAAUACAGCUCCAAUAAGAGGUGCAUCCCGCUUGGAUAUCCCAUAAUACUCUCAUUUGGUGUCAUUUAAACUGCAGAGGAAAAGAUCAGAAACAAUUCAAUGCAGUAUCAAAAACAAACAAAUUAAUAUUUUGCAUUGUCUAUGAUGUAGCUUGCAAAUUUAUAAUGUUAUGAUAGCAUGUUUACAUGCACUAAUAUUCAUUUAUAUAUAAAUCAUGCUUUUUAUUUAUAAUAUAAAUGAUGUUUUUUAAGGACAGCAUGUGAUAACAAAUAGACUUUCUCUCUGUUUCAGAGCCUGUUGUGCUGCUCUCUGAUCAUAGCAGCUCCUCCACAUGAAGCGAGUGGAGACUCACAUCCAUUCCAAUGGAGUUUGACCUAAGCAUGUUGCUAAGCAAUACUUUAAUGUGGUAUAAAAAUACAUCAACACACAAAUAUAUGGAGUAAAACCAUUUUAUCAAUACAUUUUAGAAUGGAAUCAAGUUAUUUUAAAGAUAAUUAUUAUGAAAAUGUGAUUAAAUGUACAAACCUGAUUCCAAAAAAGUUGGGACAUUGUACAAAUUGUGAA